rnacentral:rRNA from 1 species
AUGGAUCAGAGACAGCGUGCGCUACCACGAGCACGAGGACAUCUGGGUGCGACAGUCAGAGAGCUCGUCGAGAGGCUCGGUAGGAUGGAGGGUGUCCCGCUAGCUACCCGCGUCGUUGCCAACGGUGCCAUGGGAUUUGUGGUGCACAUGGUCAAGGAGAUGUGCGGAUUCUUGGGCAAUCUCAGCUUCGAUCAACAUGUCAAUACAGGAUACGUGCUAUUCAAAGGUACAUGGGUUAAUCACAUCUUCUUACAAGGUCAUAAGAAAUUAAAUAGCCUGCUGGCUGGAUCAGAGAUGGUUUUUCAACUAGUGACAUAA